UACGUAGGGUGCAAGCGUUGUCCGGAAUUAUUGGGCGUAAAGAGCUCGUAGGCGGUUUGUCGCGUCUGCUGUGAAAACUCGGGGCUUAACCCCGGGCCUGCAGUGGGUACGGGCAGACUAGAGUGCGGUAGGGGAGACUGGAAUUCCUGGUGUAGCGGUGAAAUGCGCAGAUAUCAGGAGGAACACCGGUGGCGAAGGCGGGUCUCUGGGCCGAUACUGACGCUGAGGUGCGAAAGCGUGGGGAGCGAACAGG
rnacentral:rRNA from 1 species